rnacentral:rRNA from 1 species
UGUCGACCUCAGAUCAGACGAGAUUACCCGCUAAAUUUAAGCAUAUCAAUAAGCGGUGGAAAAGAAACGAAAACGAAUUCUCCAAGUAGCGGCGAGCGAAACGAGAAAAGUCCAUACACCGAAGUCGGCGAGCAGUGCUGUUCGUCAACAGUGUGGUGUUAAAGGUGUCGUUGCAUGUGCUGAGAUCAGUUCGUAGGCUCCCUUGAUUGGGGCUUCAGAGCGGGUGCAGGACCCAUAACGAACGGUCUUUUGUGCAUGGUGUCGCGGCGCUUUGUCGAGUCGGGUUGCUUGAGACUGCAGCCCAAAGCGGGUGGUAAAUCUCACCCAAGACUAAAUAUUCGUACGAGACCGAUAGCGAACAAGUACCGCGAGGGAAAGUUGAAAAGAACUCUGAAGAGAGAGUUCAACAGGACGUGAAACCGUUGACAGGCAAACGGAUGGAGCUGACGGUGGAAAUUUGACCAAAAUCAGUCGUUGCUUGGUUUGUUGGCAAAUGAGUCUUUUGUGAACUUUUCUGUUUGUGGAGACGGGCGUUUGUUUCGAAUCAACGCACGGUGCACUUUUGGUCGAUUAGCGUCACGAGCAACGUUCGAUUUCUUUGUGCUGCUGACAGUGCUGCUGUUUGUUGCUCUUCAAAAAGCAACAAGCAAUGAAGGCGGCGUCUUUUUUUGGAAGAGGUAGUGAAUUGAGAAUGCGCUUGUUUUUUGGAGUGCUUUUUCGCAUUGCCGUGCCAAUGCCGCAGCUGUCGGAUGAAUGUUGUCAUUGCAAAAUUGAAAAGCAUCGUUUCGCGUUGUGUUGCAUUGGGUCCGUUGGUGCCGUUGCGUUCGUGUGUUUCGGCGCACGAUUGAACUGGUUAGUUGGGAAAAAAGUCAAUUAUUCAUCAUAAUUGAUCUGACUGCCGUGCGUAACGGUAUUCUCUCAUUGGUGUGAUGGACUUUGUUUGUGGCCAACGCUCGGUGUGUUUUUUCAUCUGUGGCGUCAAUGUUAGCCUCCCAUCCGACCCGUCUUGAAACACGGACCAAGGAGUUCAGUAGGCACGCGAGUCGUUGACGUUGUGCAUUGAACAGUCGAAGGCGUAAUGAAAGUAAGAAAAAAGUGAACGGUGCUUUUCUUGGGUGCCGUUUGCUUUUCAACAUGAUCGUCCUUUUUUGUGCUUAAUUGUGCAAAAUUGAUAGAUGGGGACGCGCAGUGUGGUGCCGUUGAAUAGUCGCACUGUUUCUCCUUCUCUUCGGGGUUGGAGGGACAAUUGUCGAUCAGUCGGUUUCGGAGCGUGCACACUGGUACCCGAAAGAUGGUGAACUAUGCUUGAGCAGAAUGAAGCCAGAGGAAACUCUGGUGGAAGUUCGUAGCGGUGUUGACGUGCAAAUCACUCGUCUGACUUGAGUGUAGGGGCGAAAGACUAAUCGAACCAUCUAGUUGCUGGUUCCUUCCGAAGUUUCCCUCAGGAUAGCUGGCAUUUGUGUGUAACAAUUUUAUCCGGUAGAGCGAAUGAUUAGAGGUGUUGGGAACGCAAUGUUCUCAGCCUAUUCUCAAACUUCGAAUGGGUAAGUUUUUUUUUUCCCGACGUACGCAGUUUUAUCCGGUAAAGCGAAUGAUUAGAGGUCUUGGGGCCGAAACGAUCUCAACCUAUUCUCAAACUUUAAAUGGGUAAGAAGCCCGGCUCGCUGGCGUGGAGCCGGGCGUGGAAUGCGAGUGCCUAGUGGGCCACUUUUGGUAAGCAGAACUGGCGAUGUGGAAUGAACCAAAAGUCAGGUUAAGGUGCCAGACAUUGGCGCUCAUGAAAUACCAGAAAAGGUGUUGGUCGAUAUAGACAGCAGGACGGUGGCCAUGGAAGUUGGAAUCCGCCAAGGAGUGUGUAACAACUCACCUGCCGAAUCGACUAGCCCUGAAAAUGGAUAGCGUUUGAGCGCCAGGCCCAUACCUGACCGUCUCAGUUACGCACUUUUGUUGUUUCAAUGAUGAAGGUGUAAUGAACGUUGAGACGGGUAGGAAGGUCGCGACAGUGUUGCUUUGAAGAGUUUUGAGCGUGAGCUCGCUCGGAGCCGCUGUUGGUGCAGAUCUUGGUGGUAGUAGCAAAUAUUCAAGUGAGAACCUUGAAGGCUGAAGUGGAGCAAGGUUCCAUGUGAACAGCAGUUGGACAUGGGUCAGUCGAUCCUAAGAAAACGGCGAAAGCUUGUUCGAAUUUACGACAUAAAAAAUGUAAAACUGUGUGUGUGUAGUGUGCUUGUGUGUGUACUAUACUGAUAUAGCAGUAGUGGUGGUGGUGGUUUGUCAGUCAGCAGUAGUGUUUGUCUGUGGCGUGCUGCUGCUGCUGCUGCUAUUGUUUACUUGCUGUUGUUGUGUGUUGUUGUACACACACACCCACACAAUUCUGUGUGCAGUUGUCGUAUGUUUUCGAAAGGGAAUCCGGUUGAUAUUCCGGAACCGAGUAACGGAGACAAAGAGUAGCGCUUUAAUCUUCCGGUUGGCGUUCAACUCAAUCGCGCGGUAACGCAAGCGA